CCUACGGGGGGCUGCAGUGGGGAAUAUUGGACAAUGGGCGAAAGCCUGAUCCAGCCAUGCCGCGUGUGUGAAGAAGGCCUUCGGGUUGUAAAGCACUUUCAGUGGGGAAGAAAGCCUUGGGGCUAAUACCCUCGAGGAAGGACAUCACCCACAGAAGAAGCACCGGCUAACUCCGUGCCAGCAGCCGGGUAAUACGGAGGGUGCGAGCGUUAAUCGGAAUUACUGGGCGUAAAGCGCGCGUAGGCGGUCUGAUAAGCCGGUUGUGAAAGCCCCGGGCUCAACCUGGGAACGGCAUCCGGAACUGUCAGGCUAGAGUGCAGGAGAGGAAGGUAGAAUUCCCGGUGUAGCGGUGAAAUGCGUAGAGAUCGGGAGGAAUACCAGUGGCGAAGGCGGCCUUCUGGACUGACACUGACGCUGAGGUGCGAAAGCGUGGGUAGCAAACAGGAUUAGAUACCCGAGUAGUC
rnacentral:rRNA from 1 species